rnacentral:rRNA from 1 species
GAUGAACGCUAGCGGCAGGCCUAAUACAUGCAAGUCGAACGGUGUCUUCGGACAUAGUGGCGCACGGGUGCGUAACACGUAUGCAACCUACCUUACAUUGGGGGAUAGCCUUUCGAAAGGGAGAUUAAUACCGCAUAAGACAGUAGCUGGGCAUCCAGCAGCUGUUAAAGAUUUAUCGAUGUAAGCUGGGCAUGCGUCCAAUUAGCUAGUUGGUGAGGUAACGGCUCACCAAGGCAAUGAUUGGUAGGGGAACUGAGAGGGCAAUCCCCCACACUGGCACUGAGAUACGGGCCAGACUCCUACGGGAGGCAGCAGUAGGGAAUAUUGGGCAAUGGACGCAAGUCUGACCCAGCCAUGCCGCGUGCAGGAUGAAGGCGUUAUGCGUUGUAAACUGCUUUUAUACAGGAAGAAACGACUCUUGCGAGAGGCUUUGACGGUACUGUAUGAAUAAGCACCGGCUAACUCCGUGCCAGCCGCCGCAGUAACAC